GGAAGGAAAGAGGAGACCGCAUGGAGCCACGACAAGGACAAGGAAGAUGUACAGUACCGUUUUCUUCAUUUUAGCCCUUGGGAGACGACAACUCCUCCUCCUACCACAAGAGGGCAAUGUGUGAUGCUCUAAGGGAAAGACGCCAAAAUGUUGGAGACAGAACACAGCACAUGGUUCCAGCCUCACUCUGGUCCGCUGCUCCGUUGCUGUCUCCUAUUCCUCCCUUUUGGGAUGUUAAUAUUCACCACCCAGGAACUCCAAGGUAAAAGCAAAAACAUCAGGUGUUCAAGGUCAUCAGCUAUACUGAGAGCUGGAGGCCUACCUGGGCUUCUUGAGACACUACCAAAACCAAAAGACUGGACACAGUGGCCGUGGCACAAGCCUUUAAUCCCAUCACUGGAGAGGCAAGGGCAGGGGGAUCUUUUAAGUAUGAGGCUACUCUGUUUACAUUGAGAGUUCCAGGACAGCACAGUGAG